GCAUCUGAUUUGGAACAAAGAUUAAUCGCUAAGGGAUGGGGAUGCGUCUGAUUAGGUAGUAGGCGGGGUAACGGCCCACCUAGCCAACGAUCAGUAGGGGUUCUGAGAGGAAGGUCCCCCACAUUGGUACUGAGACACGGACCAAACUCCUACGGGAGGCAGCAGUGAGGAAUAUUGGUCAAUGGACGAGAGUCUGAACCAGCCAAGUAGCGUGCAGGAUGACUGCCCUAUGGGUUGUAAACUGCUUUUAUGCGGGAAUAAAGUUCGGCACGUGUGCCGUUUUGUAUGUACCGCAUGAAUAAGGACCGGCUAAUUCCGUGCCAGCAGCCGCGGUAAUACGGAAGGUCCGGGCGUUAUCCGGAUUUAUUGGGUUUAAAGGGAGCGCAGGCCGAAGGUUAAGCGUGACGUGAAAUGUACCGGCUCAACCGGUGACUUGCGUCGCGAACUGGCUUUCUUGAGUGAGUACGACGUCAGCGGAAUUCGUGGUGUAGCGGUGAAAUGCUUAGAUAUCACGAAGAACCCCGAUUGCGAAGGCAGCUGACGAGUCCUUAACUGACGCUAAUGCUCGAAAGUGCGGGUA
rnacentral:rRNA from 1 species